UCGAGUGACCAAUAUGCUCUCAAAGCACUAGAUCCUGUCUGAUCUGGGAAGCUAAGCUAGGUCAGUCCUGGUUAGUAUUUGGAUGGGAGGCCACCGUAUAGAUAUCAGGUGCUAUAGGCU
rnacentral:rRNA from 11 species